rnacentral:lncRNA from 1 species
AUUCCGAGCGCCGGCGCUGCAGCGUUCCCAGCCCUUUGCCGACUGGAAGCUUCUCUGUCUGCUGUGUGGAUGGAGCAGCAGGAGCCAGUGAGUCCUGGGCAGCCUCAGGGCCACCUGGGCACAGCCCCCCUCUGUCCCUCUGUCCCGGGGGCCCUGUCCUCUUGGCGGGGCUCCAGGCCUCUGGCGGCUGCUUUUGUGCUCUUUUGCGGGGCAUCUGUGAGAACAGUCUGGAAGACAAUGACAGAGUGCUUGCCUGGGGAGUCGGAGGAGCUCCGGUUAUGUCCAAGCCGAACCCCUGGAGCCUCUGGACUGCCUGGCACUGAGGGAGCGGGAACUGGACGGUGGGCAUGUGGCCGGGAGGAGCCUUCCAACCAGAAGAAACUAAGUUUUCAAGUUUCCUGCUGUGUCAUCUCAACUGGAAAGUGUCGUCCCCCAGGAAGUCUCCUGCCCUCCCUCUCUGCACAGGGAGCCGCUUCCCACUCUGUCCUUCGAUGGACACGCUGAUGCAGCUGGGAAUGAGCUUGGAAACGCUAACUGACCAGAGUGAUUUCUGGGCCCUGAGUGCAUUACAGAUGGAGAAAGCUUCUGAAUUCUCUAUGGAACUCCAGGCCUGACCUUGGGAUGGGAGACGGGCGGCUGGGCGCACAAGGAAAGAGGCCUCGCCUUGCGCCACGGAGGAGGUGCUACCCCGAGCACUGUCUGGGGAGGAUUUCAAGGCUGUGCCCAGGCCACCCCUGAUGGAUGCAUCAGUCACUUCAGCCAUGGUGCCGGCAGGGAGCCCAAGCGCGGGAGCAUCCUCUGUCGUCCUCGCAGCCGGGACCCUCUCAUUUCCUGUCUGCACAGCAGCCCCGGCGUGUUCCUCUGUGAAAGCCAGGAGCACGGGGGUGACGCCUUCUGGGCCUGCCACUGUUCCUUCAGAAGCGACCUUUGACCUCCCCAUCAGCCUGUGCUGCUAGGUCUGGGGUCAUUUUCUGCUCAGAUAUCUCCUCUCCCUGACGAUCGAUUCCCCCUGGAGGGGUGAGCCACUGUCGGGAGGGGAGACGGAGCUGAGCAUGCAAGGAAGGGCAACCCCAGCCCAGAUCCUGGAGGGCUUUGGGCUUCCAGGUAGAAGCCGGUCUUCGCGUCAGCAAACCAAGAAAAUGCCUCCCUGAAAUGGUCUCCAGGUCCCCCCAAACACCUGCCUCCCCCUCCAGCCUUCUCCACUGAUGCCUGCAGCUGCAUAAGUAGUGUUUCAUUGCACCCCAGCAGGAGCUGGUACCGGUUCUUCCCUUGCCUCAUGCUGGGGUAGAUUUUAUUUAGGAUUGGGAGCAGGGAAAGGAGCUAGAGAAAGGAAGGGUUCCAGGAAGCUGGGAAGGGAGAUGUCAGGUGGGGUGAUGGGAAAGGAGGCCAAGGACCACCUUUGCCUGUAUGGUGGGCUGAACUGUGUCCCCACAAAAGAUAGGGCGUCCUAACCCCAGAUACCUGUGAAUGUGACCUUAUUUGGGAAUAGAGUUUUUGCAAAUGGAAUCAAGUCAUGAUGACGUCAUUAGCAUGAGCCUUAAUUUAAUAGGAUUGAUGUCCUUCUAAGAAGAGAAGACAGGGACACACAGGAGAAAGCCAUGUGAUGAAGCAGGCAGGAGCUGGAGCGACACUACCACAGGCCAAGGAACAUUGGGACCAGAAGAGGCGAGGAGGGGCCGUUCCCUAGAGGCUUUGGAGAGAGCAUGGCUCAUCAACACCUUGACUUCAGACUGGUAGCCCCCAAACGGUGACAGAAUAAUUGUCUAUUGUUUUAAGCCCCCUGGCUUAUAGUACGUUGUAAAGGCAGCCCUAGGAAGCCCUAAGCCAGUUUCACUCAUUAUGAUAAAUAUCAUAGAUGAUGACUGUCAUAUAUUGGAUGUGCUGGAGAUCUUCACAGCCACAGAAUAAACUGCAGGCCAAAAAAAGAACAUUCAUAUGAGGUCCCCAGCAGGGGCUGGCUGUGCAAGUCAGAGACUGCAGAACCAGGUAGGCAGACAAAGCGAAAUUGCCUGGAGCUGGACACAUAUGUGCACCACUGGGAAAUAAAUAGACUUGCGGUGGAAAUGACCAACGUGGAUGGCCAGGGAAAUGCCAGCAGCAAUAAAAGAAAAGAGUGCACAAGGCCUGUAAAUCAGCAGAUGCGAGAGCUCCCGAAAAGUAGCGAAGUCUGAAAUAAAAGGCAGGCUCAGGCUGGUGGUCCAAGAAGUUAAAGCAGGAAAUGAGAGCGUGGGCACUGUGUGUGCUGGGCUCCCAAAGACUGCAGGGAGUGGCCAGAUGUCUCCAGAGGCAGCGUCAUGUGGAGCAAAGGGGACCUGAGGAGUGUCAGCAUCCUCAGUCACCUCCUCCUUUGAACCAGCUGUUCGGAAUCUGGUCUCUUACUUAGGAUAAUUGUAGGAACUGACUUUUUUUUUUUUUCUUUUCUCACCUAUUGGCUGACUGAAAGAACCGACUUUUAAAUGAGCACCUCCCUCAUUAGAAUUGCUCAAAUGACAACAGCUGCAGCGGUGGGAGCAGCAGCAAGUUUGAAAAUCCAACAGUCUGCAUUCCACAGUGACAGUAUUCUUGGUCACCUCGGAGACAUGGCAGCCGGGAGCCACGGCUCUCAUUGCUCGGGGUUGGUUGGGUUACCAGCCCUAGGGCUACAGAAUGUAUCUAAAAGAGAGGCUUGGCUGGCAGUUUAAGAGGGGUGCAGGACAGCAGGAUGGGGUUCAUGAGGCAAGAGUGGAUGGAGCCUGUGGCCCAGUUGGGAUGAGAUGGGACAGUUCCAAUGGGCAGGACAAACCCCAGCCACCGUCUCAGGGUAUUUGACAGGAGGUAAACAGCAGACAAAAUCCUGGAGCACAGGGGGGCAGGGCUGUCUCGUUCCCAUGAAUGGCAACAUUGGAGGACUGACCCCCAAGAGCGUGGUUUUGUCGUCAGCCUCAAAGGCAUGGCUUUCUCUCUGGCGUUGGCAGCAGCCGCUCAGCACCAUAGCUAGGGAGCAGCGGCCUAGAUCCCUCACAUUUAUUUCACUUUGACUCUUUUGACCAAAGCACCACUGUUUAAGGCCUCAUUUUUCUUCUCCCAUGUGGAAAAUCAUAUUGCUUAAAUUUAAAAAUGAAGAUAGAUAGAUGGAUGAAAAAAUCCCCAUAGAGCAAAAUUCUGCCUGUGACAAAAAGGUCUCCACGUCUGAGGUGACAGUCAACUUCAAGUGACGCCAAGAACAUCAAAAUCUCUCUAUAAAAAAAGAAUAGGAAGCAAUGGGGCUCGUGAAAAUGCCACAUCAAGAAAAGUCAACAAAUACAUACUUAGUGGUAACUAUGGUUGCAGAGAAAGAGAAAACUUAAAACAAUAUGAACAUAUGUGGUCAUAUAGACUGAAAACCCACCGUGUCAUAAAACCCCAGGACACAGAACGCAUCAGCGUAGACAGCAGCUGUACAGACAAUGCUGGGGCGGUUGUGGAGUGGGAUUAGAAGACAGGAGGCGCCAUCGAGUCAGCUCCAAGGCCAUUAGCCUUGUGACGCCAGCAAAAUGUGUGAGUGGGGAGCCUCUACGUUCUCUCCUGUGAAAUGGGGAUGACAGUACUUCCUUGUAGGGUUGUGGUAACGAAGUUAUUCAGCACAGAGCUUGGCAUGUGGUCAUAACAAGGAGUGGCGGAUAAUGAUAAUAUGGUAACAGUAGGCAUCAUUGUGAGAAGGGACAGAGACUCAAUGUGAAAAGUAUAGAAAGGGCUCUUACAAAUCUCCAAGCACAUAAAAGUCCCUAAAAGACAAAUGGCGAAGGGUUCACAGUUCACAGAAAUGGAAAAAAAGAAAUGAAUGAAUUCAAUGAAUAUUAGGGGAAGAAAACCGUUACUAAUUAGUGACGAAGCACAAAGUAAUGCAAGUAUCCAACACCAUUUUGACAGCACUUGAGAAAUGAUCGAGAAUUCAGAAACGCGGUAAAAACUGACGCUGGUCCCGACAGUUAAGUAGGAAUAUCCAGGAGUUCCUGACGGUAGUGCAAAUGUGUUUGAUUACUUUGGAAGACCAUUUGGUAAUUCUCAUCAAAAGCCAGAAUACGCUACACUUGGAUCUCAUCAUUCUCUUCCUGAGAAUGAAAUAAUUCAAAUUAAGAGAAAGCUAUACUUAUAAUGAGACAUGUAGUUAGAAUUAUGAGAAUAAAAAUAGGUUAGCAUCCCCUAAUACAGAAAUGGUUACUUUGUCAUAAGAAUACUAAUUCUAUAACAUAUUACAUGGUGAUUAAAAUGAGAGUGUAUUUAGAAUAAUGUUAAGUCUUAACAUUAUUUUAUAAUAUAAUUUAUUGAAAUAAUUAAUUACGGAUAUUUUUAAAAUAUGUAGCUAAAGAUGAGAUGAAGCUAUCAGUUAAUGCAAUUUAUCUGAUGUAGGUAGAGGAACUUAGAUACACCUAUGUAUGUUAUUUUAUUAAUAAGUACUUUAAAUGACACAUAACUAAAUUAUCUUAAUUUCUCUGUAUCACCUGUUAUGAAUACACGACUCCCCAUGAUUCAUUUUGUACUGACCUAUACGAGGGUAUACAAAUCUAAAUCAGGCACUGAAUUAAGGCACAAGCUAGCUGUGUCCUCCCUGGAACAUUUCCUGACUCAAUUUAGAAAUAUCAGCUGAGCGUGUAGAGUUGUCUCUUUGAGGAAAGCUUUAUUCUCUCAAGACUACUUGGCUCCCUGAUACUCUCUUUAAUGUUAUUAUAAGAACGCUGAUCUUUUAAUCCGCUAAUUCACUCUCUAUUAUUCUUAUAUCUCAAAACAGCUUCAAAAGUCACUGGAUUUUUCAAUGAGAAGGAGAAGUUAGGCAGCUACCAAAUAGCUGAAAGAAUAUUAAAUCUGAUGGAUCCAGCCAAAUAAAAAUGUUCAUUCAUAGGAUCUGUGGUUGUUGAGGAAUCUUCUAAGUUUCAUAAAUGGCAAAAACUCUUUCUCAGACUUACAGAUCAGACCUCACAUAUGCAUGAGAAGAGAAGCUAUUUUUGUCUCUGGGUUCCAGUUACACAGCCACAGCCUGGAAGCUUUGUUCUCAGAAUUCAUGCUGUCAUCAAAAGGACUCAAUACAAACACUGCAGCCAGCCUGCCAUGGCUUAGCUGUGACCGCAGCUGCAAACUCUUCUGUCAUGUGAAAACUUUUGGCUUUUUCCGGGUGUGGAAUGCCUGUUGGUCCCAGCUCCGCCUGCCUUUCCUCCUUCUGGAAUCGUGUCCAUCCUUUCAGUCAACUCAGUUUGUCCGCAUCUUCCAGGCCUCAUACCUCCGCCUGAUCUGCAUGGCAGUGGUGGGCUUGCUCUUUGUGCUAUUACACUGACUGUGAUCGUGUUUAGUGAGUCAGCUUCUACAAAGUUGACCUGCACCUGUGUGAUGUCUCUCCCUAGCUGGAUGCAGCUUCUCCAUGGGCUAAGUUCAUCAUGUUAACAGUGCCUGCCCCACAGGCCCUCAGGGGAUCUUAGUGGGUGGUCUAUGGAGAGACUUUAGUGGGUAUAUGAAUCCCCAAAAUUGUAGGCAAAGUUUGUGUAUGCUGUGGCCUAUCGACAGCGGGGACUCUGCCGCUGAUUUCUCCUAAGAAGCCUCCUGGGGGUUUGAGCGAAUCGUGGUGGUCUCCUUCCCUCUGGAGUGAUUAGUUUUGGCUUUGGCUCAACAUGGUGCAGACCCAUGGGAUCCAAAGGGAAGUUGGCCGGGCAUUUCUGGGAAGGAUGUCUCUUCUUCUGAUUUCUGAGUGAGGGUAGGAAGCCCUCUUCUUCAUCAGACGCCAUGGCUCUUACACGAAUGAUGCCUAGAGCAGACACAGCCCUUCCAGGACCAGAGGCCAAGGCUGACAAUGGGACAAGAGGGCGGAGGAAGAAGUGGGGAGCACCUAAGCCUUCCUCUGACCAAGCACUGUCCUAACCAAUUCUGAUUGGUUCACUUCUAGUUACAUGAUAUAAUAAACGUCCUAUUUCUUAAGGCACUUUUAACAUGAGUGCAGCAUUUUAGAGUUUCAUCAGGUGAUCCACUGGAUCUGAGUCUCUGCUCAGGCUUAAGGAUGCCCAUAAAAGGUGCCCAAUUAAAUGUUGAUUGGUUGAUUGGCACACAGAGAAUCGCUGGAAGUGCCGCUGAGUCAUCCAGGUGCUAAGAGAGCUUGCCAGGCCUGUCUAGAGGAGGUUGGCCAACUGGAGUGUGUUGUUCUCCCACUCAAGUCCACUGCCCAGUGCUGCCAGGUGUGGGAGAGCAACUCAGAGAGGGCUGGAUGUUAGACCAAGCAAGGUCUUGAGAGUGUCACGCUCAGGGAGAUGCCCAAGAGGGGACCAGCUGGCUGUUUGUGUGGGUGUUUCCUCACUGGGUAAACAGGAGAGAAUCCUCCUUAUCAAGGGCCUGUAGAGUAGAUGGACUUAAGCUUUUGCACCCACUCUGGCUGAGCUGUAGUGUUAAGAAGGAUUCUGAAGCUGUGUCCAUAUUUAACUGGAAACUGUGCCGUGAUUAUUAGUUAAGUGUCCCAUGGAUACAAAUGGAAAGAAUCGAGGCAUUCACGCCAGUGAUUCAUCCCCCCUGUCUAGGGUCUGGUUCUCGGCUUUUUAGAUCAGGAGACUCAGGGAGCCCCUUCAAAGUAGAUACCCACUUCAAAAGUGGGUUCAUCUAUCUCCUGGAAAAUGCCCCACUCCCUUUGAUAGACUGUUCUGCUCAAAAACAUCUUCUGACUGAGCACAGUGGCUCACGCCUUUAAUUCCAGCACUUUGGGAGGUUGAGAUGGGCAGAUCCCUUGAGCCCAGAAGUUUGAGACCAGCCUGGGCAAUAUGGUGAGACCCUGUCACUACAAAAAAAUAAAAACAAUUAGCCAGGUAUGGUGAUACAAGCCUGUAGUCCCAGCUACUUGGGAGGCUGAGGUGGGAGGAUCAGCUGGCCCCAGAGGUCAAGGCUGCAGUGAGCUGAGAUCAUGCCACUUGCACUCCAGCCUGGGUGACAGAGUGAGGUUUUGUCUAAAAAAUUAAAUGAAUAAGUACAUAAAUAGGUCUCUGAGGCUGAGGACAGGCAUCCUCCGGGGAUGGGUGGCGCUGUCUGAAGCUGUCUUCCUCUGUCAACUAACAAGCUGGCACCAGAAAUUCCAGGUGGUCUCCUGGGCACUCGGUGGACCCUCAGCUCUUCCUCGGACGGUGGUGGGCAGUCUUGGACACAUCUCCUUUUUUGGAUCCCGUGAGGAAGAGUGUGACCUUUCUGCUUGGCACUUGGCUCAUCAGCCUGAUGCGCGCAUAGCGUGGUAGAGGGCCAGGUGCACAGACGUGGUGCUGUGACCCUGGGGAAAGCUGUCUCGGGGCCCACGUCUCCCAUGCAGAAUGAAGGGCCCCCUGCAGAUCUGCUCCAUGUGCCGUGGAGUUGCUGGUUCUGAUUAGGGAAUGGUUUCCUUUAGUCCCUCCGGGUCUAGGAAUGCUCUCUGCCCACCUGGACACUGUUGGGUGAGCACAGGAUAAACAUCACGAAAUGAAGAGUGCCAUCUGCAGAGCCAAGAAGCAGAGGCUCGCUUGGAGAAGGACAGGACUGGGCCUAGAAGGGUUUGGCGGGUGGCUCUGCCUGGCCAUUUGGGGACAGGAAAGGAGAGGGAACCCCAAGUAAUGGGAGCGGCCUGAACAAAGGCCAGGACAGGAUGUAGGGCUUGCUUGGGGCCUGGUGACUGAGGCCCCAUUUGCCUGGCCGAGGGUCUGUGUUCUACUCAGGGUUGAGAAGUAGGGAAGGAUUGGAGGAGGUUAAGGACUUGAGGAAAAUGAGACUUUAGGAAGACUCCUGUGGCUGCUGGGGGUGGGAGGGAGAGGAGGGACUCCAGAGAGGCAGAGAACUGUCCAGGAGGGGGUGAGUCUUGGGCUGAGGGUGCUGGCUCCAUGCUGGGGGUUCAUACCAGAGGCCGCCAGGAGCUCAGGUGAGGGCUGCUGCGGAACUCCCCUUCCUUGGCCAGGCCUCCCUCCCCUCCUUUCCCUUCCCAGGUGUGCUGACGACUCGGUGGACUCAGGUGGUGCUGGCCUCCCGUGCUCAGGGACUGAGAGCUGGUUGCUCCUUCCUACACAGCCCCUCUUUGAGAGACUGCAAACCUACCCCCAGGCAGGCAGAGCUGGGGGACGGGGAGUCAGCCACCGAUGUGCUUGAAGCAAAGCAGAUGGUGCUCUUGGCUCAAUGGAGGUGGCCGAAGGACAUGACCUUCCCCUCCGGCCUUUCUUUUGGGAAAGGAAGUCUUUGGUAGUUUGUAGCAACUGAAUAAAUCUUGUCAUUUU